UACGGAGGGGGCUAGCGUUGUUCGGAAUUACUGGGCGUAAAGCGCACGUAGGCGGCUUGGUAAGUUAGAGGUGAAAGCCUGGAGCUCAACUCCAGAAUUGCCUUUAAGACUGCCGAGCUAGCAGGUGAGAGAGGUGAGUGGAAUUCCGAGUGUAGAGGUGAAAUUCGUAGAUAUUCGGAAGAACACCAGUGGCGAAGGCGGCUCAUUGGCUCAUACUGGACGCUGAGGUGCGAAAGCGUGGGGAGCAAACAGG
rnacentral:rRNA from 1 species